rnacentral:lncRNA from 1 species
AUUGUGAUGUCACAAUGGAGCAGCUUUGAUUCUCUUUCCUCUGAACACUAGAGAGGCCAUGUCAAAGCUAGACCCUGGGAGUCCAAGCACCUCUGCAAAUCCACUUCUCACAAACAUGAUAAUUAUGAUGAAAGGGAAGCUGAGACUCUAAGAAGUAAAAUGAAUUAUUCAAUCAGUUCAGGCCACAGCUCGGCCAAUGCUCUUUCUAGGAAACCAUGCUUGAAGAAAAUGCUUUCCAUGGAGAAUUUGUGUAAGAACAUAGUUACAAAAAUAAAAAAGGAGCCAUUAAACUUCAUUAAAUUCCUGAGGGUUCUGAAUCCUUGCUGCUUGACUGAUGCAAGCACAUGUAGGAAGGUGGCCUGGGAAGGGAUGGUGGAGUGAACGAACUGAGAG